rnacentral:lncRNA from 1 species
GCUCAUUUUCAGGCUGGGUAUCUCAUUCAAAUAUUUGAGAACAAGGCGUGUAAGACAGACACCAUAAAGGCAGGAGCCUUUACCCUCAAGAGCAGUUCGAGCCCAACGGCGUAUCUAGUCGCUUGACACAUCUCUAGGCUUGUGUAUCUUCAUAAUGGUGUUUGUGAACUAUGGAAAAGGAAAAAAAACACGUCCCAUCGAAUGAUAUGUCAAUAGCGGACCUCGUAUUCCCCUGGUUCAUCUGGAUCAUGGGGGAAUGGCGUGAUUUGGCCUUCGAACUACGUGGCAUAAUCUCCUACUGGCAGGAAGGGCUCUUUAUUUACUGUCUGGCCAUCAUUCACGUAGCAACAACAUUCGCCUUACCUGUGCCAGGAUGGCCAAAAGGUUAUCUCGGGCCCGCCGGUUUACAUAAGGGUGGUGCACAUUUUAAGUGCACGGAUGGUGCUGCUGGCUGUAUCGAAGGGCUUAUCCUUGGCACUGCCCAUAUGCAUCGUGUCUACACUUUCGGUUAAUCAAAGCGAAUAUUUGGUAGAAACGUGCAAAGAGAUCUACGGUGGAACCAUGAAGCACGAUCCCGAAGGCAUCUUGGGCUGUUUGACCUCGAUGUUGUUAACAUUCCUGGGACUGCAGGCUGGCAAGAUCUUUCUGACAUAGCGCAACAACCUACACAGGACUAGCCGGUGGGUCAAUUAGGCAAUCGCCUGUGGCUUUGUAGCUGGAGCCUUGUGUGGUUUCAGGAGAGAUCUCUGGUAACGACGGCACAAGUAAUUCAGAUAACUAGUUACUGCAUACUAUUCAUAUCCCGUACUAAAUUCAAUAUACUAUACCCGUAAGCGACUUGAUACUAGAUUAGGUAUCAUGAAAUCUAGCAAGAAGUAGGUUGAUACCUGCUACUAUGUCGGUAUUGCUGCAGAGACAUGGAUGUUGCAUUAAGCUCUUCGUUUUGACGACUGAUUAGUAAACAGAAUUCGGCUGUCUUCCGAAGCUAUUUCGCACCCAAUAGCGAAUUCUUAAUGUCAUUUCGUGUUGAACCAUAAAUUAGAAUCUUAACUGGAAUCCUUCCAUAAGUACGUUUUUAUCAUCAGUAUCACGUUAUGAGCAAGACCACAUGUAUGACGAUGCAUACUGAUAUCAUUGUCUUUGUAUUUGCAAGCUCUCAAGGUUGUUCUAUUAACGACUGCCCAAAAAUAUUAACUCACUUAUUAGUUCUACGAAAAAUAUGACAUCUUUGUUACCUGUAUGUAUACUGGAAAUCAAUUCAUCCGUACAUGAAUUUCUUGAGUGAAAAAUGCUUACGGGCAUUGCAUAUUCCAUACCAUCUUUAUCGGCGCCGUGGCGUCAAUGGUGAAAUUUCAAUCUUUUGCUUCUCAACGGUUUUGUUUCGAAGUCGGGUUUUAUAUGUAUGGUAGUUUUCUUGUUCUUUGCGCGGGUCAAUGUCGUAUAUCCUUUGUGUGGUCAGUUUUACUUCCAUACUUCUAACUGUUAUGCAUGCAGUCAUUGAUUUCAUGAAUCUGUGGUCGUGCAUCUAUCUCGGUGGGUGAUACUCAAGUACGGACUAAGUAUAAAACAUGUUUCUAUUACAAAGGCUAUAGAUGAUUCAUAAUAAAAAAAACUCUACCUGAAUACAUAUUUUAAGCUAAGCUAUUUUUGAAUGAGUAUUUAAAAAAUAACGAUGUACGCUCUUCUUCAAAGCAACCGACAUUCGACAGUCAACUUACAGCUCAUACAGAAAGCAAUGUAGCUCGUUUAAAUAAAAAUAUGGAGAUGUUAA